rnacentral:lncRNA from 1 species
CCACUAUAUAUUAGUAAUUGCCUUUCAAAUCAGUGAAGGGAAGUGAAUACCGUUUGGGAAGAAGGAUUGGGACAUAGCCUACAUUUACAUAUAUAUGGUUUUAGUACAGCCUCCUACUAGUAGGGUUUCGGUGGUAGGCCUAUCUACACCGCCACCACCAUUUUUUACCGUGUCGUACACUGAAUUAAAUCGAGUGCACCUAAUUUCCGAAUUCGAUUAUGCUGAGCCGUGGGGUAUUGGUCUAUGGCCCGUGACGUGACCGAGCAAAAGCGGUGAGGGAGGAGCGACAUUAUCAAAUGGAACAGUAUUCUGCGCCGCUCUGUGAUGUUGUCAACAUGGUACAUCGUCCAGAAACAUACAAUAGCUAUUUUCCAUUGAAUUUAUGUUUGGAUUUUUUAAAUAGUUUUCAUUGGGAAGGCACUUUUGCAUGUGAAAACACCGAAUCCUGCUCAUUACUACACGUGCUUAAUUACGUCACGUUUGUUUAUGAGCCGAUUUCUCCAUCAGACAGAGUGUGGCACCAAGUUCGCGCCCUGCAAGCAACCUGGUUUCGAACUCAAUAGAGUCAACUUUCAGCCGGUGCAAAACACGCUUACAAUGGCGCCCGGGCAAGAUUCAUCGAAUCCCCUCAAUGUUUAGAGGUUGGCUCCACCGGCCUUCGCUCUGAUUGGAGAAGCUGUCUCUCCCAGACAGAGGGGGACCUUGAGUUACCGCAGACUGCCGAGUAAGCACCGAGCAGUCUGACUGUACACUACUGCAGAUGUAAUGGGGGGCCUGGCCCCGAGCCAACAGCUAGCUAGUUAGUUAAAGACGGUGGCAGUUGGGUCAACGCAGCCGUGUAUGGGGUUCUGUCCCCGCAAGGGUGCUUGCCGUUUUUACUAACUACACGUAUGCAACAUUGUGCCAGUAAAAUUGAAACUUCAUCAGCGCCAGCUAGCCGCCCCACCGCUAGCUGGCUAGCGAACUAAUGGAAAUGACUUUAGUAUAACGGGGCUUCAAUCUUCCCACACUUGCCCUGAUGCCAGACUGACUAUGCAGUAGAAAUGCGGCUCUUGCAGAUAAUCAAGACUAUAGGGGAACAGUAUUGCUAUUGGCAAUAUAAUCUGCAUUUUAAACAAUCCAUGGCAAGUAUUAUGAUCCAUGGUAAGUAUCAUAUCCUAAACUAACCAAUGGUGGAAGGAACCUAUAACCAAAUCAGAACAUCACACUAAACCAGCACCAAUCAGAUGCUGUAAUGAUACAAGCAUGCCUUCCCUUGUCCAAUCAGAGUGAUAUACCGGUAUUUAUGACCCAAUCACAGCUUUAGCUGGUACAGUAUCAUCACUACUGCUCAGCAUUGAGCAGGCCUCUGACCAGUUAUAUAAGUCCCUGGCUCCGACGCAGCAGCACUGUCUAUGCUAGCUCAAGGCUGCCUGUGGGUUCAGUGAGUUCGAGACAGCCUCAAUGCAGUGGACUGCCGCUGGGGGAAAAAUGUGACCUCGUUUGACUGGUGUUGCCUGGAAGCGCUCCAACUGCAGUCUGGGAAGUGGAAAGGACAGUCUAUGUUUUAAACAGGUACUAGUUUAACCCUCAGACUGAAAUUAACAGGCUAUGAUGGCUCCCCUGAGAAAAGACUGCAGGUCACUCCCGGUUGGACCAAAGGGGAGCAUUAACAAAACAAGUCACCAGUCCUUCCCUUCGCUCCUUCCUGGGAGAAACAAAACACUGUCAUCAUAAAGAACAAAUGGGAGAAAAAAAAUCUAUUUUAAUUUCUGAUUUUUGUAAUCAUAUCUAACAUUUUUGGGGGGGGGAAGGGAAAGGGGAGUGUGGGGGGGUAUAGAUGACAUCAUGAUGACUCUGAAGUUUCAUACCUUCUCUGUCUAUUUUUGUGAUUUAUUAACACAUUAGAUAGAUGUACAGUAGCUUGUUAGGGACUCUAAGCCUUGAUGAUAUGUUUGUUUUCAGGAAGGAGAGGAAAAGCCUAAUGACACAAAGCAAUGUAAUAGCACAGUCUCCAACAGCAGAGACCUAACCUGAUCCCAGGUCUGUUUGUGCUGUCUUCCAUGGCUUUGGUGACUGCACAAACGGAUCUGGGACCAGGCUAGCAGAGACCCACGUCUACGUUUACGAAUUCUACAGGUGGCCCCUUGUGGGCUGAGUACAGUAACUGACAGGCAGCAGCAUGUCAUCCACUCUGCCACAGAACAAAACACAGUUCAAACAGCAGCAUUAUCCUCCUAUUUAUGUUUUAACACUCACUCAGUUCUACCUGCACUGUUCACACGCUCAACUGCAGUAUGUGAUCGCUCCUUAACACAGUAUUAAGCUAGGCCUAGACCUGUAUCAUUAUCUCUACAAAACACUCUUCAAUGUCUUGGAAGGGAGUGGUUGCACCUCGAAGCGUAACCAUUCAAACGUUGGGUUCACGAUUUUACGUUUUAACAGUCCUAAUUGCUCUGCUCUUUAAGGUGAUUCACACCCUUCAGCUCUCAAAUUCUUCUCUCAUUCUCAAAACUCUUAAUAUUUACACACUCUACAGUAUUUACUGAGGCUAAGAGUCCCCCUUUUUCCAUGUUAGCUAGUAAAUGCUUGGUAGUGUGUUUUUGUAUUUUAAACGUUUAUGGUUUUAAGUAGAUUUGCUUUUUUAAAGUUUUAGAAUGUUUGUUGCUAGUAUAAAACCAUGUGUAGACAGUUAUGUAUGCUGUGAUGUAGCCUAUAGAAGUAGCUAUAGUAGAAAUGCAUUGUUCCCUUGUGGUAAGUGAGUGAGAUGCUGCCACGGAACUGAGACACUGAUGAUUGGUGCUAUUUUGGACUUUAAUCUGCUCCUUGGAAAGGUAGCUGAGAUGGGUUUUCUUGUUUUACUUUCACAUUCUGAGUAAAGAAGGUGUUGGUUCUUUGUUGUCAUGGUUGUUGUAACUUGGUCUGGAUUGGCUUAGUUUUUCUCUGUUUUCUGUGCGGCUUUCUCAUUGGAUUUAAGAUUUGAGGAAAUAUAAACUUUUAUCAUGGUCAAUGUUUUACUAAAGGAAAAGAGGAUUCAUGUGAGAAGAUUUGAGGAUAUACCAUGUUGAUGGGAGCAAUCACAAAACUGCAAUUGUUAAAAACACUAGUUACCCUUUAAUACUGACACGUGCAUUCAAAGGUAUACAAUGUAUCUAGUAGUACCCAGCACUGGUCACUUUUAGAAAAUGUUAAGCUUUUUUUAGUUGGUGUGUUUUGAUUGACAGACAAUCUCGAAACCAGGAGUGCAGUUCUGCCCCUAGCAUGUUUGUGUGUAACGGAGAUCUCUUAAGAGAUUUUGCACACUUACGAGUGAGUUAUGAAUUUGUCACAUGGAAACAUAUAGAAGUCGCCACAGCAUAACGCAAUGUUAAUGUCUGAUAUCUGCUUCAAGUUGAUUAGAAUAAGUAAACAGUAAAACGUAAAAUGAAGGUUAUUUUUUGAAAAGUCAUGCUUUUCAAAAAUGGCACUUGAGAGAACUUGAUAGAGUUAAAUGCUAAAAGGAAUGAACACACUCCAUGUGUUUUAAGGCCCAGCCUGUUUGGGUUUGGGUUCAGGGUUUCAACUUUUCCUCAUCUUCUUCACCAGCUGGAUAUGACUUAAUCCUAUAGAGAGUCAUGUGACUUAAUGUUAGUUAACGUGAGACUGGAAUCACAUGAUGCAUAUAAUCUUGUUUCAAAAAAAUUUAAAUACAUUUUUCCAAAUGUAGCAUAAAGUUAGAAUAGAACAAUCUUUUUAAUUUAUGUAUUUUUUUAAUGAUUUUGUAAAUUAAUGUUGAUGAGAAGCUUACUUUGUUAUAAAACAGACGAACUAAAACCAAAAAGCUUUUUAUUGUUUGUAGCUAUAGAUUUAAAAUAUCAAAGUAAUGUCAGUAUUUGCAGUUUUGUCUUUGCUUCCCUGUUAAUUUAUUUUGUUAAAGAUUCUAAUAUUAAUAUGAUAAUAACCAACUUGAAAGCCCAUGUUAUUAUUCUUUUGUCUUCCAUUCUCCCUCGAUUCUGGGGACCUUUUUGUACCAGCAUGUUCUAGUGUUAUUGAUCGCUUGUUCUCUUCCUCAUUGAGUUGAUUUGUUACACAUUUUUCCUCUUGCAGUUCUUUCCUUUCAGACUAGUUAAUAUGAAAGCUGUUUUGUACAUAGCAAAGUGAAUAGCAUAUACAGGAUGUGCUGUAGUGUGUUGAGUCAGGUAUUCAGUAAUUACCACUGUAUAUGGUUGGAAAAAAAACACGAUAUGCCAGCUUUGCAAAAUUAUUACAACGAUGCACUUAACUUACAGUAUCCCAUGUACUUUUUUUUGGCAAUUUUAAAAGUUGUGCAAUAAAUAUGCAAGCUUGUAAAUUUGUGUUUUUAUUUGAAUCUGUUGAUGUUGCUGGAGUUUUUCCAGUGUUGUAGGAAACUUGUGCAAUUGUGCUUUGUUCGAGAAAUUGAUCCUGCCGCGUCAUGGAAUACGGAGUUGCAAAAAGUAGUCAUUUUCAAGCAGUGGUUUAUAGCCAUCAGCAGACAGUUCAGACAACAGUUCUGACAGCAGUUCAGAGCAGAUCCAAAGUGUGAUUGUAUAAACCUGUGGCGUUGAAGAGGAUAUUACUUACAACAUAGUUGGAUGAAUCUUUC